AGGAGGAGAUGGUGGAGAGUUGUUGGUGGACGGUGAUGGAGAAGGAAUGCUCUUCGCAGGCACGGGAGCAGAUGCCGCCGUUGAGUUAGCGGAGGGAGAAAUCGCUGGUGAUGGUGCUUGAGAUGGAGGAGUAGAGAUCGACGAUGGAGUCACAGCAGGAGCGGCAACGGGAGAAGCAGCGGCAGCUGGAGAACCAGGAGCGGCAGCGGGAGGAGCAGAUGCUGGUGAGUUGAUGGCGAACGGUGAAGGAGAUGAAGCACCAGGAAGAGGAGCAGAUGCCACUGGUGAGUUAGCGGAGGGAGAAAUUAUUGGUGAUGGAAACGGAGAAAACAUGGGCGAUGAUGAUGGUGGUGAUCGAGCAACUGUGGAAUCCAGCAGCAGUGCAACCAAAAGCAUCAGCACAACGGUGUAGGAAGCCAUAGUAGAAAGAUGAAGAAGGAGAAUGGGAAUAUUAGGGUUUGAAGCAGUGAUAUUGUGUUGUGAAGAAAAUAUUAGGGCUGCAAAGGUUAUUUAUAUAAGCUUAAACGCUUCUUCCCGUUUCUAGGUUAAGUCGUUAUGACUUAUGAGUCGGUGAUUUUUUUUUUUGUUUUUUUGAAUAAUACAAUUUUUUUUUACAAUUUUUUUUAAAUUACUGUUGUAUUUAUCUUUUUCUUUUUGAUCAAAAUAAAGUUAACUAUCAUUAAUCAACUAAUGUGCAAUACAAGAAGGAUAAGAGUUAAAAAUGCGGUGACUAGCCCAAGAACAGACCGCCCUAGCUAAAGUAUGAGCAACCAUGUUCGAUUGUCUCCUAACAAACUUCACCUCGAAGUUGGAAUGUAAAGAUAACUGAUAAAUAAUACUAGAAACAAUAGCAUAGAAUUCUGAAUCACCAUGGCCCAGAGACGAAAGAGCUUGCACUAAAGUAGCAGAGUCAGACUCGAAGACAACCCGGUCCCAUCUGUUCACAUAAGCAAAGUGAAUAGCAUCGAGUAAGGCUACUGCCUCCCCCUCCAAAACUGUCAUAUUUGCCCGUUUCCAUUUCGUUUGUGCCCGAAUAAAUUUCCCUCGGGAGUCUCUAACACAACAUGCAGAGGAUGUAAGACGAUUACGGUCAUGGAACGCGGCAUCCACAUUGCACUUCAACCAUGUCUCGCUCGGUUUCUCCCAAACUAAGUUGUUACGUACCUUGCACCCUAUUCCGGUCAUGUUGCACAACCGGUAGUGAGGGAUGUUUAUGAACCUCAUGCCAUUGCUGCCAUGCAUCCAGAGCUGUCCUUCCAAUGCUUGUUGAAGGUAUAAUGAGCGUCCUUCCAAAUGACAUCAUUACAUGCAGCCCAAAUUUUCCAAAGAAGUAAAGCCACACGACCAGCAAUGUCUCGGCUUUCUGAACAACAUAUGUCAAAAACAAAAUUUGUCAAACUACUCUCAGUUCCAACUCGCGUUUGCAACACAGUCGAAAGUCCUGUCCAAUACCAACUUUCACUCGCCACCGUACAGCCCACAAAAGCAUGCCAAUCAUCCUCAACAUCCGUAUCACACCAGGGGCAGUUCAAUGUGUAACAACUCCAUCAUAGCUAGUUUGUCCCGACGACUCCCAUAUCUAACGACGAUGAGAAAUUGAAUCUCAUCACCGUCUUCAACGGGUUUGGGUAUCCAUACAGUGAAUCAUUUUUUUGAAUAAAAAAUUCAAGUUUUUUCCAGUCCCGGGAAUAAUGUUAUAAUGUAUUAUGCAGUAAUAUGCUCACUUUAACAUUUUUUUAUCGAAUAAUUUGGUUGCUCUUAUAAAUAUCAAUGGCAGGUUUUAUAACAUGACAAAUAUCAAUGAGUAAUAAAGUAAUUUCUACAUUCAUGAUAGGUUUGUGUAUGAGUUCGAGAUGAGUACAUAUAUCUUUGUUAUUAGUCUCGUACCCGUGUUUUAAAAUCGAGGAAAAUCCAAACACAUACCCAAACUAGUCAAAACGGAGAAACACAUCAAAUCGAGGUGGGUUCAGCCAAAUAACCGUGAAUACCGGUUUUACUAUCAUGCCUAAAUAAAAUGGAUAUAUAUUCUAACAAAUUAUACUGUCAAAACAUAAAAUAGAAACAGAAAGUGUACUAAAAAAGAAUUAAAAAGGAGCAUAUAGUGUAAUAGUUAGAGCAUCCACAAAGGAGAUCCUCAACUCCGAGCUCUUAAAUAGGUCCCACGGACGCAUCACUUUUUAAUAAUUUUUUAAUAAUAGCAUUUAAUAGGUACUCAACCACUCCAAUGGAGAUCCUUUAACAAAAGGUCUAAUANGGUCCCACAAAUAUUAUUUAAUUGCCAUGAAAAUUAUUAUUUUAAUAAAAAAUGAUGUGGAUCCAUUUAAGAAUGGGGCUUAAUAGUUAGACCUUGAAUCUUUUAAGACCCCCAAGUUUUUUUUCCCACAAUAAGGGUACCUAUUAGGUACCAGAUCUUAAAUGGUGAAGACCUCACCAUUGUGGAUGCUCUUAGUAAUCCUCAGUAAAAAAUAAAAUAAAAAGUAAAUCCUUCCCUCAAAUAAAAUAUCAAUUAAUUAGCAAUCCUGGUUGUAUCCGGAGUAAAUAAAAUAUUCAAUCAGAAAACGCAUAUGACCAUUACAAAAAAAAAAAAAGGAAAAGAAAUUUGAACUAGAAAGAUGAAAUUAAAUAUAUUAAUAUAAAACGCAUAUGACUGUUACAAAAAAUAAAAGGAAAAAAAUUUGAACUAGAAAAAGGAAAUACAAUAUACUAUUCGGGUAAUAUUUUAUUAUUUAUUUAUAAAAUUGUGACAACGUCUUCGUGAGCUUAACUCAAUUGACAUGAAUAAUGCAAAAAAAAAAACAAAACUAUCGUAACAUUUUCAGAACAUUCUUUGACCUCACAAAUACGAGACAGUUGAAUGUCAACCCAAUACAACCAUUAAAGUGAUCUUGGUACAAGAAUAUGGUAUUAAAAGAAAUCACUAAGUCACAAGGAUGAAUUCCUUAAAAAAAAAAAAAGUCACAAGGAUGAAUGAAGAUUAAAUGAAAACUUUAAAUAUGUUCAUAAAAUGAAUUCUAUAAAAAGAGAGUUAAGAUCUUAUCCAUUUGUCAUUUCCAUCUCUAUCAUUUGGAGAGAUAAUCUUUAUCAUUUGAAGAGAUAAAGAUACAAAAAUAGAUGAAUUCAUCAAAAUAUACAAAAGGAACGGUUUCUUUUUUUGAAAUAUACAAAAGGAACCUAUUGAAUGACAUAUAACAUAUAAAAAGAAUAUAUUUAAUGGUUGACUUAAAUAUGUAUUUGAACCUUGCAAUUAGGGGUCGUUUAAAAAUUGGUCCCUGUAAUCGCUAAUCCUGGCAAUUUACCCUUGCAUUGUUUAAUCAUUUAAAAUUUCGUCGCUCUCCCCACUUAAUCACUGCCGAGCCACAUGAAAUUCUAAUUUUACCCCUGGGUUUCCAAUUCUUUCUUCAUUAUUUUGUCCUCUUCUUAAGGGCAAAAUUGGAAUUUCAUGUGUGGCAGUGAUUGCCACGUCAUCAAAUUAGUGACGUGGCAAUGAUUAAAUUGGUCAAAGGACGAAAUUUAAAAUGAUUAAUGAUUGCAAGACUAGUUUGCAAGGAUUAGCGAUUACAGGGACCAAUUUUUAAACGACCCCUAAUUGCAAGGAUCAAAUACAUAUUUAAUAUUGGCUCCACCAAAAUGUGAGUAACACUAACAAGCUUGGACAUAUGAGAAGAUGACAACACAUGUGUGAGAGAGAGAGAGAGUUUGAGGUACCACAAGUAUUAAAAAGCUAAUGACAAAAGUGUUCCUAUUACAUGAUACUAAAAGACAAAGUGUGUCUUUAAUACAACUCAACUUGAUUUGUUUUCUGCCAAAUCUCCACAAAAAUAUGCAUGGUACUGUUCAUAAAAUAUAUGAGAUGACAUCACAAAAACGCAUAUGUUUAUUAGUUGUCCUUACCUUAAAAAAGAAAAAUGAUAUCGGUAGAACUACUUUGUGACAACUUUCUCUCACAUACUCAGAUUAUAUUCUUAUUCUCUCUUUUCUUUUUUUUCUCUCCAUUAUUUUUGAGCAAUAAAAAUAGAGAAAAAAGAGGUUAUCUCAAAAGUUGUUUCAAAUAGAUGUUCAAAUAUCAUUACUCCUAAAAAAAAAUGUUUAUUAGGUCCUAUAUACAUCAGCUGAGAACGUUAUCAACACUGCAAGAACAUUUUGACAAAAGGCUUCAACAAGAGUGAAGUACUCUAAUGUGUUGGUAACUUUUCCUUCCCACCUUUGCCUCUAGAAACUCCUGUUAUUUACCACAUCAAGGAUGGUCCUCAUCUAUAAAUGUUCAACAAGGACAAAGAGCAUAAGUCUUGAGCAUAAUCAUACUCUCUUGAUAUUUGUCAAUCAUCAAGAAACAUCAAAGACUCCUUUGUUUUUAUCAUCUACAUCAUUCAAGCUCAUGCAUAGAAAUCAAACAUCUUUAAAGGCAGCAACUUAUUUUACACUAGUUUUUUAAGUGAGUAAGAAACAUGUCAAAACAUUCAUCAAUUUUAAAAUUGCUCUAGUUACUCAUUGAAAGCGUAAUUAAGAAGUGUAAAGGCAAGGUUGCCAAAUCAAGGUUGUAAAGUCGAAGUGGUUAAAAGGAAAUUGAGUGUAAAGAUCCUAGGGUGAUCUAAGAAAAUGCAUAGAGAUAGUAUUAAAUCUUAAGUGCAUGGUGGAAAAUAUCACAAUAUUGUGUGGACUAAAGUAGCCUACAUUGGAUAAACCAAUAUAACUUUAUGUGUGUGAUUCUCUAAUUAACUCGCCUCAUUUAAAUUUCCAAUUUACACUUGCUAUAGUUAUUAAAUGUUGUUUCUUACUAAGUAAGUAAUCAAAUAAAAGUUAUCAGUUUAGAAGUUUUAUUGCAAAUUUUUUGAAUGGAUCACAAUCCAAAAUCCCAUUUUACUUCAGAAAGAAUCACGUUCACAACUUAUGUAAUGAAGGAUAUGAGAUCUUAGUGCUCUUUAAAAUGGUACACAUUGGAUAGGAGGAUCAAAUUAUACAUAUCAUCGAAUUCAAAUACACAAAAGUAAAAGAAGCAUUGAAAAGGAUGAGUAAUGAUUAGGAAGUUGGACCAAAUAACAUAUCUAUUGAACUAUGAAAAAGUCUUGACGAUAAAAGCAAGGGGUGGCUCACCAAAUAUUUUAACAAAAUUAUGAGGUUAAAGAAAAUGUUAGACGAGUAGAGUAUAACAACUUAAUUUAAUUCCAAUCUAUAAGAGCAAUGGAGGAUAUAUAAAAUUGUACAACUUAUAGAGAGGCCAAACUUAUGAGUCACACCAUGAAGUUAUGGAAAAGAAUGAUUGAGAGAAGAAAGAAACUCAAUUUAGUAAUAACUAAUUUGUAUUUACGUCUGGAAGCUUAAGGUCCACCAUAUAUGGAACCAAUCUACUUAAUUACUAUGAUGAGUGAUGGAGCAAUAUAUGAUCAAUUAAAAAGACUUGCGCUUAAUUUUCACUAAUUUAGAGAAGAAUGAUGGUACAACGCCUAGAGAUAUUUUAAGGAAAGCCCUAAAGACGAAAGGGGGUUAGGUUGCUUAAUCUAAGAAGUCAAAUAUAUGUACAAGGGGUUCUUGACCAGCGAGAGAACGUAUAUAAGUUGGGGCCACUAACAAUUUUCCUAAAAGAAUAGCAUUUCACUAAGGAUGAAAUCAAAGUCAUUAUAUUUUUACUUAAGUUUUUUAUGUACUUAUGAUACACAUCCAAGAGUUAGCGCCGAGAUGUAUACUUUUUAUUGAUGAUAUAAUCUUACUUCGAGAGUUGGUGGAGAAAGUAAAUGAGAUUGGAGACAAGCCUUAGAAGUGUAUGACUUUCCCCUCAGUAGAAGUAAGACAAAAUAUAUAUGCAAUGUAGAUUUAGCAAAAGGCCAAUCAUUCCUAGCAUAGAGAUGAAAGAAGAACAUAUGAUACCAUAAGUUACAUGAUUUAGAUAUCUUGGAUCCACCAUAUAAAACAAAGGAUAAUUAUAAGUAGAUGUAAACCAUCGAAUUCAAGGUGGAUGGUUAAUUUAUCGAUUAACUAUAUCAUAGUCAAUGGUGUAUUGAACAGGGUGUUGGGAUGAAAAGAACCAAAAUUAAAUAAAUUAAGUGCAGUAGAUGUGAAGAUGUCGACUUUCACUAUUAGAAAAAUCAGAAAUGGUUCCCCGUGAGCUUAACUCAGUUGGUAGGGAUAUUGCAUAUUUUAUGCAGGAGCCGGGGUUCGAACAUCGGACACUCCACUUCUCCACAAUUAAAUUGUGUGAACUCUAGCCACUAGACUACUUGACAAAAAAAAAUUGGAAAUGGAGAGGGACCAAUUUCAUCGUUAUAUUGCGAAAUUUCCAUCUCUACAUACUUUAGAAACAAAUUUGGGGACGAAACUGAAUAUGUCUUAGAGACGUAUUGUCUUACCACACAUACUUUACAGACAUAUUGCCUUACCAAAGGAACACUUAAAUUUUGUAAACAUCUAGGGUUGAAAAUAUGCAAACCAGUCGGCAAUUCUUUAACAAUGCAAAAAGGUAGCUACAUUCAAGGCCUCAACCUUAAAAAGGUAACUUGAUGCUAAUUUUUUUUUCAACUUGUACUUCAUUGAAUUAAAGGAUGAUGAGGUUCAACAACAGGAAGCUCCAACUUCUACAAUUUUCACGUUUUCUUCUUGGUUUGAACUAACAUCCCUCAUUAUUGCCAUGAUGAGAGGUUGCACCUACUAAUUUAAAUUAACCAAGAAAACAAUUUGACCAUUCCUUGACAAGUGAUAUUUUGCAGUGGCUUACCCCCUUCAACAUUGGAAGUUUCCAAUGCUUCUUAAGGAAGUGACAUACUUCCACUAAGGCUUGAAAUUGUUGACAUGAUUUCAUGAUUUCACGACAUAACCGAAACCACUGGAGGUUGACAUUGCAACGGUGCUCACAACUUUGGACACGCCAAAAGUAAGUUACUUGUCGUGUUAGAAGUACAUGAAUUGCUAAAUUUUUCACAACAGCAUGCACGCGUAUGAAAAUAAUCAUCACCACAAGAAAAAGGUUACACACGUAAGUUACAAUAGCUCGUUCGACCGGGCCUUCCAAAUUGUCUACUGUGAUCUUUUUUGUUACAAUAUAAGCAAAUUAACUUUUUAUAUUCAUAUAUUUAACGAUAUAUGUUGUUCAUAUACCACAUACAUCAUUAAAUGAAUGAACUUAAAAAGUCAAUUUUAUUUAUAUUUAGAAAUGGAGGAAGUAAUUAUGAACUGCGUCAAACCGACCAUAAAUAAAUGUUUAAUCAAUGUGAUCAUGGGUGUGUUUUAUAAAGUGUUUUGAAAAAAAGAAGGUGUAUUUUGUUGAGUUGACUUUUAAACAUACGUAUGUGACCUUAUUGACAAAAAAAUGUAUGUUGUCAUUAGUUUGCAAAACAACUCCCGCACUACUUAAAAUUUAUGGGUAUGUGUUUGAUUGAUUUUCCCAAGUCAAUUACAUGGUAUUGGUACCAUGAAAUGCUCAAUCAAUUAAAAUAAUUAAUUUUCAUAAAAAUAAAGUUAACAUCUUGUUGAGGGAGAGUGUAUUGCUCUGUUUCAUGAAAGAAAUCACCAAACAACUAAAAUUUCUCCUUGUUCGGCUUUCAAUUUCUGAUUCCCAUUAAAUACAUAAUUUGUCCAUAAUAUCCCGAAGAAAAUUGAUGGAAUUUAUUUAUUUUUCCUUUCCUACUACUAAUUUUUGUUGUUGUUGUUGAAAGAUACACAAUUCAUUCAAAUGAAAACGAUGAUCGACAAUAAGAUAAAUAAUAAUUGCAAGGAAGUAGUAACGUUGAAAAGAAGAAGAAGAAAAAAUGUGUCACUGAUUAAUUAAAGUAAUAAAUAGAUUACAGAAAAUAAUCGAAUGAAUAAAUCGUCGUCGCACAGAUCGAAACAGAGAAACAACAAAAAGGUACAUAGUAGUUCUCACGAUCCAUGUAAAUUCGUGAUGUAAAAAAAACAAAAUAAAAUAAAAUAAAAUAAAACUCGAGUAACUCUCUAUAGUAUCAAAGCGGCGGCGAAAACCACUACAGCAGCAGAUCCGGCAACGGUAAAUCUGUUCAAAGCGGCACCGUUUUCGGAAGGUCCUUCGGAAGGAGGAGUGGAAAUGGAUGAUGGAGUAAGAGCAGGAGAGACAGCGGGAGAGUCGGAUGAAGCAGGAGGAGGAGAUGGUGGAGAGUUGAUGGCUGAAGGUGAAGGAGAUGGAGCGUUCUUCACAGGUAUGGGAGCAGAUGCCGCCGGUGAGUCAGCGGAGGGAGAGAUCGCAGGUGUGGCAACAGGGGAUAUGGUGGGAGAUGAAGAUGGAGAUUGAGCGAAGGUAGAACUAACCAAUAGUGUAGCCACAAGCAUCAAAACAACUGUGUAUGAAGCCAUUGUAAAAAUUUGAUGAAGGAGAAUAAAAAAUUAGGGUUUAUAAGAAGUUUUGAAGCAGUGUGUAGAAGAAUUGAGAGAGUCUAUUGUUGUGGAAGAAGAGAACAGAAUUGGAACAGUAUUUAUAGAAGUGUAUACGCGUUUCUAGGCUGAGUCGUUAUGAGCCGUUGAUCUUUUCCAAUCAUUGUUAUCUUUUUAUUUUAGAUUAAUAUCAGGUGUAUUUAGAAAAAGAAUCAUUCCUCUUUCUUUCAAAAAUAAAAAUAAAAUAAAAAGAAUUAUUCCUAAUCCUUGUUGGUACAGAAAAAUAUUCUGUCAAUUAAAAAGAAAGUAAAAUUGAACUUAAAAACAAAAAUAAAAUAUAUCUGUCUAUUGUUUUCAUAUCUACUUUAAUAUUUUUACAUAAAUUCGGGGUAGCUAAUUUUGACAAAAAAAAGAGAGUAAUAUUUUUGUUUUUGAGGUAUAAUAUAUAUUUUUUAACAUGUUUAAGAAAAUAUUGUAUUUCUUUUAACAAAAUUUAAGGUGUCCUCGUUUGAUUAGCUCAGUUGGUUGGACAAUGCAUCAAAUAUGUAAAAAAUAUUAAGGUGAGUUUUUUUUCGAGAUACAUCCAAAUAUGAUUUUCAAGGUUCAAAAAAUGUCCAUAGACAUACUUAUAGAUUGUUUAUUAAUUACAUAUUUAUAUAAAUUAGUCCUUCAAAAUUGUCAUAGCAGAAAAUUAAAUGUGAAACGUUGAGAGGAAUACACUCCAAUAUCACAAAAUCAACACCAUCAAUCUAGAAAAAAAUUGUAUUAAUCAACUAAAAUUUAAUCUUAAGAAGUUUAAAAAAUAAAAUGUAAACUCUAAAAAAUCAAUUGAAAAAAAAUAGGAAAAUCAAAUGAAAUAAAAAAAAAAAUAGGAAAAUUUUCUCAAAAACGGAAAGAAAAUAAAAUGUGAGAAUAAAAGGAAACUAAAACUCAAACUUAAAAGGAAAAACAGAAUACCGUUGAGUUGGCGUGAAGAGGCAACAAGCUGGUAGGGAAUGAAUGAGCAAGUCCAAGCUGGUAACUUUCUUAGAAUAAUAAGAACCGUUGGACAGAUGGUUGCUAUUAUUUGAAGAAAAGUCCUAACAGACUACAAAUCUAGGAUUAAAUAUGUCUUAAUUUUCUAUUAAUAUAUUAACGUUUUAUUUUAGUUCAAUAAAAUUUUCAAUCAACAUUUUUUUGUCAUUAUUUCUAAGUUAAUUUAUAUGUAGUAUUUGUAUUUUUUAACAAAAUAGUGCAGAAUAUUGAAAACUCUCUCAAUUUUUUUUUUAAAAAAACAUAAAUUAAAUAUAAAUUUUUAACCGUUGAAAAUAUAAAAUUCAUAUUUGAUUCAUAUUUUGUUAAAAUAUUCUAAUUAGUUUUAGGCGCGAUUUUUACCAUAAUAAGUUUUUAUUUGUAAAAUUUUGUUUAAAAAUAUGAAUUUCACAUAAGGGUGAGAAAAAACCAAAAACCGAACUGAACUGUUGAAUUGAACCGAACAAAACAAAAAAUUAUUGACAAUUCUGAAACUGAACUGAAACAAUUCGGUUCGAUUUGAAACAGUUCGGUUCAAAUCUAUAACAAUUCAAUAACUAAAAUUCGAUUUCGUUUGAUUUUUUAUAAAGGUACCAAUCAUAAUUGUUCAAUUCAGUUCGAAACAGGGACAAUGCAUAAUAUAUGUAAGGUCCGGGGUUCGAACCCUAACCUCCACACAAAAAGUUCAAUUCGAAACAGUUCGGUUCAGUUUGAAACAUUUUGAUUCAGUUCGAAAUGCAAACAAUUCGGUUCAGUUCAGUUAUUUUAAAUUAGGUUAAAUAUGUUUUUGGUCCCUAUAAAUAUAUCAACUUUUCGUUUUAGUCCCUCUAAAAUUUUCCUUCAACUUUUAGUCCCUAUGAAAUUUUGAAUCACUACUUUUGAUCCCUAUUUUAAAGUAAAUUUUAGUAUUUUUUUAAUGAAAUUGUACAUAAAUGUGUAGAAUAUUGUAAAAAAAUUAGAAUUUUUUAAGUAAACAUAAAUUAAAUAUGAAUUUUUAACCAUAAAAAAUAUAUAAAUUCAUAUUAAAUUCAUCUUUUGUAAAAAAAAUCUAUUUUUUUUUUGUAAGAGAUUCUUAUAAUAUUAUGAAUUUUUCUGGAAAAUUUGAUUCAAAAAUUCUACAUAUGAGUUUACUUUAAAAGAGGGACCAAAAGUGAAAAUGGAAAAUUUUUAGGGACUAAAAGUUGAAGGAAAAUUUUAGAGGGACUAAAAUAAAAAGUUAGUAUAUUUAUAGGGACCAAAAACAUAUUUAACCCUUUUAAAUUUAGUAAACAAAUCAGUUCGGUUCCGUUCAAUUUUCAUCCUGAACCAAACUAUGUCCACCCCUAAUUUUACAUACUCCCUUCUGUCACUAUUAUAAGCAAAAGUUGGUUUUUUAGAUUCAUUCAAUAAAUGAUGUAUGUGGUCUAUAUAUAAACUACAUACAUAAUUUAUUGAAUGAAUUUAAAAAGUGAACUUUUGCUUAUAAUAGUGACCAGAAGGAGUAUGAGUUUAGUUAAAAAUAGAAAGCAAAAGUGAUGAUGAAAAACUUUUGAGGAACUAAAAAUAGAAGAAAAUUUUAGAGGGACUAAAAAUAAAUUGGUAUAUUUAUAGGAAAAAAAUUACACAUUUAACCAUUAAACAUAAUAUUAUGGAUUUUUCAGACAAAAUAUAUAUAUAUAUAACAAGAUAAAGAGAUACAAAGAUCGGAUGACAUUCGACUUAACCUAAGUACAAUUCAAACGGAAAUACAUCGUGAUAAAUCAAAUCAACAAGUUUAAACUAGCGAAUGGAUCGGCCACCAACAUAGAAACCAAAUUCACGUAUCAACGACUCCUGAAUAAAUCAUCAAACAUAAAAGCUCUUUCGAAAAAUGGUGCCGCAAAUCUGACACAGAACUGCAGAUCUCGGCAAAUUUAGAGUAAAAGAUAAUCAAAGAGAUCAUAACCAAACACAAGCAGUUGCACAUGAAAUCAGGGGUAUGAACCCAGAUCGCGGCUAUUUGGAGAGUGAUGAAAAGACAUAAAUGAGUCACAUUGCUAGUUGCUACAAGAAAACAUCUCACUCGAAGUUGGAGAAAUGUUUGGGUUUCAAUUUGAAAACUGAUUCAAUUGAUGAAAACCAAUAUGCCUGAAACAACAUUUUCUAGCUUCUACAAGUGAAAAAAGCCAAGUUUGACAACCAUUGAAAGUUUGAAACAGUUCAAAAACGCUUCCCAUAAAGUUGAGACACUAAAACACCUACUCUGAAGGGCCAAGGAAAGAGACACUAAAACUAGGAAGAAUCAAAGAAGGACCCGUUAACUUCAGACGAGUCUCCCUUGACUUCAUUUUACUUUACUUUAGGCUGGGGUCAUACUCACGCCUGUGGUGUUUUGUAUCAAAGAAAUUAUCAAACAAAACCAAAAUUCACUUGUUUCUCUUUAAAUACUAAUUUUACUUUACCAUAGCAGUCGGAAGGAAAUUGCUGCAUUUUUUUUUUCUGCCAUUAAUUGUGAAUAUUAACUUGUGUUUGGCUGUUGAAGAGACAUCAAUCGAGUAAUAAAUUGCAAGGAAAUAACAGAAAUUGAAAAGAAUAAAAAGUAUCACUCUCAUUAAAAUAAUAAUCAAUAGAUUACAGAAAAUAAUAAAAUGAAUGAAUGGUAGUCACACAGAUCGAAACAGAGCAACAAAAGAGUUCACGAUCCAUGUGAAUUCGUGAUUAAUAACAAAAUAAAUCAAAGAAAAAAAAACUCAGAUGAACUCUCUACAUCAUCAAAGCAGCGGCGAAAACCAUAACAGCAGCAGAUCCAGCAACGGUGAAUCUGUUAAAAGCGGCGGCGGAGUUGUCUGAAGGUGAAGGUGCUUCAGAAGGAGUAGUAGAGAUGGAUGAUGGAGUAACAGCAGGAGAAACAGCGGGAGAGUCAGAGGAAGCAGGAGGGGAAGGAGAAGGAGCGUUCUUCACAGGUACGGGAGGAGAUGCCACCGGUGAGACAGCGGAAGGAGAUGGUGCCUGAGAGGAUUUGGGUGGAGUGGCAACGGGUGAUAUGGUUGGAGAUGAUGAAGGAGAUUGAGCAAUAGUGGAACUAACCAACAGUGUAGCCACAAGCAUCAAUACAACUGU
rnacentral:lncRNA from 1 species